GGUGUAGCCAAGCGGUAAGGCAAUGGACUUUGACUCCAUCAUUGCGCUGGUUCGAAUCCAGCCAUC
rnacentral:tRNA from 1 species